UCGGAGGCAGGGCAUGAAGGGGCGGCGGAGAGGAGAGGGUCUCUGCUCCUGAAGGUCGGGGUCAUGGCCUUUAUGCUGCUUGCACCGCGGCUGGCCCGCAACUGCCAGCACAACUUCCACCUUCUGGGGCCAGGAUCCAGACACAUCAGUCAAGCUGCAGCCAAAGUUGAUAUUGAGUUGGAUUAUGAUGGGCCUCUGAUGAAAACGGAAGUCCCAGGGCCUAGAUCUCGGGAGUUAAUGAAGCAGCUGAACACGAUUCAGAACGCAGAGGCUGUGCAUUUCUUCUGCAAUUACCAAGAGAGCCGAGGCAACUACCUGGUUGAUGUGGAUGGCAACCGGAUGCUGGACCUGUAUUCUCAGAUCGCCUCUGUGCCCAUAGGUUACAGCCAUCCUGCUCUCAUGAAACUCCUCCAACAGCCUCAGAACGCGAGCACUUUCAUCAACAGACCUGCCCUCGGAAUCCUGCCUCCGGAGAACUUUGUGGAGAAGCUCCGGGAGUCCUUGCUCUCGGUGGCUCCCAAAGGGAUGUCCCAGCUCAUCACCAUGGCCUGUGGCUCCUGCUCCAACGAAAACGCCUUCAAGACCAUCUUCAUGUGGUACCGGAGCAAGGAAAGAGGGCAAAGGGGCUUCUCCAGAGAAGAACUGGAGACCUGCCUGAUUAACCAGGCCCCCGGGUGCCCUGACUACAGCAUCCUCUCCUUCAUGGGCGGAUUCCAUGGCAGGACCAUGGGUUGCCUAGCGACCUCGCACUCCAAAGCCAUUCACAAGAUCGACAUCCCUUCCUUCGACUGGCCCAUCGCACCCUUCCCACGGCUGAAAUAUCCCCUGGAAGAGUUUGUGAAAGAAAACCAGCAGGAAGAAGCCCACUGCCUAGAAGAGGUGGAAGAUCUAAUCGUGAAGUACGGGAAGGAGAAGAAAACGGUGGCUGGGAUCGUCGUGGAGCCCAUCCAGGCAGAGGGAGGAGACAACCACGCAUCGGAUGACUUCUUCCGCAAGCUGCGAGACAUGGCCAGGAAGCAUGGCUGUGCCUUCUUGGUGGAUGAGGUCCAGACUGGAGGGGGCUCUACUGGCAAGUUCUGGGCUCAUGAGCACUGGGGCUUGGACGACCCAGCAGAUGUGAUGACCUUCAGCAAGAAGAUGAUGACCGGCGGCUUCUUCCACAAAGAAGAGUUAAGACCCAACACCCCAAACCGGAUCUUCAACACCUGGCUGGGGGACCCAUCCAAGAACCUACUGCUGGCCGAGGUCCUCAAUGUUAUCAAGAGGGAAGACCUGCUGAGUAACGUGGCACAUGCCGGGAAGGUCCUGCUCACAGGGCUGCUGGACCUCCAGGCCCGGCACCCCCAGUUCAUCAGCAGAGUGAGAGGCAGAGGCACCUUUUGCUCCUUCGAUGCUCCAGACGAAUCGAUCCGUAAUAAGCUCAUCUUAAUGGCCAGAAACAAAGGCGUGGUGUUGGGGGGCUGUGGCGACAAAUCCAUUCGUUUCCGACCUAUGUUGGUCUUCAGGGAUCACCAUGCUCACCUGUUCCUCAAUAUUUUCAGUGACAUCUUAGUCGAUUUCAAGUAA